rnacentral:lncRNA from 1 species
AAUAAAAGAAAGCAAAAUAUUUAUUUAAAAAAAAACGAAAACAAAAACCUUGUACUCCGAAAAGUACUUUUCCGAACUGGUACUUACAUAGUUCAGAAGAUGAAGAAGAGAGGCAGAGAGAGGGAGAGAGGGAAGCUACAUUCUUAUAACUAUGUCUAUUGCAUGAUUUGCUUUAAAUUUAAAUAGUGUUUCAUUUUCUUCCUUCCUCAACAGGAAGGAAACUUCUUAAAACUGAAUAGUCAGCCAACUGCAUACAGUGUCACUGCAUACAAGUUUCGUAUUUUUAUAUAGUCUUUCAUCAAGUGUUCUGAGUCUGGGUGGCCCAAUAUAAAAUUGACUUGAUAUGUGGCUCAAAAUAGUUUAAUGUUUUGAAUCUGAAUAUGACCUACCAAAAACUGUCCAAAUGGAACGUUUUUAUUUUCCCAUAACACUUUUAUUUUCCAUGACAUUCCAUAUAAAAACACACUAAAUAAAGGAGAGCCUGGGAAAGUGAGCAUUACAUGUGCCACCAGACCGCUGACUUCCAGUCUCUGCCUUUUUCAUUACUCGGAAGCAUCAUACAAUGAACAUUUACACAGCUCUGCUCCCAGAACCUAAACAUGCCAAAUGAUUUUAUUUGUGUCUCAUCCCUGGAGUAAGAAAGACCAUGUAAUCAGAAACCGUUGGCGCCGGAAGAGACCCUCCGAAGGUCCUGAGGACCAGACUCUCAUUCCAAGUUUGCUUCUCUUUGGAAAGAUAGUACUGGAUUAUCUGAAACAGAAAAAAAUAAAAAGAUAAUUUUUAAGGAAAAAACGUAAGGUAAUGUCAAUGAAUUCUCAAAAAUGAGAUUUACCUUAUAGCUUCUAUAUUUUUAAACAAACAACAUCAUUUUUCCACAGGUACAAUCAUUAUUUGGAACUGUCACUAAAUUAUACCCUCCAAAAUCAGUGUUAAAUUUUAGAGCUUUGAAACAAUGCAUUUUGGUAUUGUUGCUUUAUUUUUCUCCCUGCAAAAAAAUGAC